AAGUGCAGUAUGGUCUUACUCAUCCACUUUCCACGAUGACAAUAAAUGCCUUAAAAACAUGGACUGCCUCUUUCCAUCAGGAUUUGCUGUGGGGAGCCACGGCAAAGGCCUUUGCCUGUAGAGCCACAAGCCAAGGUCUCCCCCUGUAUCCCCUCCAUGUAGGACCAGCCUGCAGGUCCCCAACUCCAGUGGCACCUGGGUGUCCAAGAGCCUCAGAACCAGCCAGUCCGGCCACGUCACAGGCCUGGGGACUCCCAAACCAGCUCUGGCCAUUCCUCACCUCAGACUAUGCUUCCUCAUCCCUGGAGCGGUGUCCAGGGGCUGCCCUGUGGCCCAACAUUCUCCCAGGGACCACAUGGGACUGGAGAAAACACAGCUAGACUUACUCGCUGCCUUGCACAGUGUUCCCGCCACAGAAGAGAUCUCACAGUCUCCUUUUCUCCAUUCGCCUGUCUUGGUGUACAGAAAACCACAGGUGUCGACUAGGUCCUCACCAUCUUGAUCUGCCCACUUGUCAAAUGUCAUAUUUGAAUGAUCAAACCACUUGAAAGUUGCAUCUGUCAAUUAAGGAACAUGAUGAUAGUUUUCAAAAGGAAGACCCAAAAGGAAGAUAUUUUCAUUAAAGAAUACCUUCUGGCCCAGCAUAAAGGUAAACCACCAUUCUGGUUUGCAGUGUUUAAUGUCGGGAAAAGCAGUGACUUACCUUUUGGAAUCUGGCACACCCAUUCAAGCUUUGCAUCACAAGCAAAAGGCUUCAAAUGAGCAUAUUCCCUCUCAUCAUAGAGAUGCCAGAGUCUUUGCCAAGCUAUCAGAGCCCGGAGCCAAUGGUAUCAGAGCUUAUUGAACUGUCUAUCUUUUGCAAUGCUGGAGUCUCGUGAAGAACCCUAUCACAGAUACCUUCUACUGUCUUGAACCUCCUAGACACAUCACUUAUAAAAUGGAUAAACAAAUGGAUUCUGUA